rnacentral:tRNA from 2 species
CGGGACGUAGCGCAGCCUGGUUAGCGCGUCAGACUGGGGGUCUGUAGGCCGUGAGUUCGAAUCUCACCGUCCCGACCA